UACAGAGGGUGCAAGCGUUAAUCGGAAUUACUGGGCGUAAAGCGUGCGUAGGCGGUUUCGUAAGUCGGGUGUGAAAGCCCCGGGCUCAACCUGGGAAUUGCAUUCGAGACUGCGGAGCUAGAGUGCGGAAGAGGGAAGUGGAAUUUCCGGUGUAGCGGUGAAAUGCGUAGAUAUCGGAAGGAACACCAGUGGCGAAAGCGACUUCCUGGUCCAGCACUGACGCUCAGGCACGAAAGCGUGGGGAGCAAACAGG
rnacentral:rRNA from 1 species